UACGUAGGGUGCGAGCGUUAUUCGGAAUUACUGGGCGUAAAGCGUGCGCAGGCGGUUUUGUAAGCCAGGUGUGAAAUCCCCGGGCUCAACCUGGGAAUGGCAUUUGGGACUGCAAGGCUGGAGUUUGGCAGAGGAGACUGGAAUUCCCGGUGUAGCAGUGAAAUGCGUAGAUAUCGGGAGGAAUACCGAUGGCGAAGGCAGGUCUCUGGGCUAUAACUGACGCUCAUGCACGAAAGCGUGGGGAGCAAACAGG
rnacentral:rRNA from 1 species